rnacentral:rRNA from 1 species
UACAGAGGGGGCAAGGCGUUGUUCGGAAUUACUGGGCGUAAAGGGCGCGAGUAGGCGGCCUUCUAAGUCGAACGUGAAAUCCCCGGGCUCCAACCCGGGAACUGGCGUCCGAUACUGGAAGGCUUGAAUCCGGGAGAGGGAUGCGGAAUUCCGAGGUGUAGCGGUGAAAUGCGUAGGAUAUCAGGAGGAACACCUGCGGUGUGAGACGGCUUACUGGACCAUAACU